UAUAGACCACAAUUCGUGAAUAGAAACCCUUUUAAUAAAGAAAUGCUGAAAUAUAUUUUUACGCAUCUCACUUCAUCAAAAUGCUGUUCACCGCCAACAUAACAUAAAAUAUGACUACCGUUUAUUUUCUAACAUCUUAGUCACACAAAUAACCAAGAUUUACGAGUUACAAUUUUUCACUCAACCAAGUAAUAACAGCAGAAAAAAUAUAACAAAAACAACAACAAUUUAAUUAACCAUGCUUCGACGCUGACACAUAAAACUGUCGGCAUUUUGUUCAAGCUCUGACAUAAUAAAUCCCUCGCAAACAAGUAAGAAAAUUACACAAAGCAAAAGAAAACGGGAUCGCAGCAAAGAGCUUAAAAUGUCACUUGUAGCGGGUUGAAAUUCUUAGAAAAUAAAAGCUACAAUAUUUGUGUUCAAUAAAUUAUGCCGAAGAGCAGUAAAAAGAACGCAACUAGUCAAAGAAGAAAAUUGGAAACACACAAACUAGAAUGCUAGCAAGCGUGGGAAAAACUCCGUUGGAUAUACAUAUACAUAAAUAAUAGAGCAGAGAUGUGAGAAGUUAAUGGUGGGGUAAGAAAAUUGUAGUAAAGAAACAUAAAGAAAAUGCAGAAAACGUUUGGAUUACAGCAACGUUGAUCGGAAUGAGAAAUAAGUUAGUAGGCAAGUAUACAUGUUAACCAAAAAACAGUUCAAAGCGGAGUUAAACAUUUACAGCGCACUUUAGAAUUAAUUAAUACUCAUCGCUUGCGAAAGAUACUUAAAUAUACCGAAAGUCCGUAGACCUCUACGUAUCGGAAGCAACCCGGAGAUCGUUACGCAAACCUCUUUGGCUGUUAUAUAUGUAUAUCAUAAAGCUUUGGUGCAACCGAAGUUCUUGUUUUUCUUUUGCAAAUGCCUCUGAAGUUUUAGUUUUUGUGCCAAAAAAAGUAUCCAUCGCUUUUUAUUUUCAAUUCAUUUCAAAAUUAUAUACAGUAUUUUUAAUAUUUUUAUACACAUUUCAACAGUAAAUCAAUUUUGAUGUAAACGAUUGGAAAAAAUUAAAAUAUCUUGUUUUUGAGCAGUCAAAAAAAAAAAACUUUAAAUGCAGUUAUCAAGCAGUUUUUAAAGAAAAAAUGGUGAAUAAACAAAGUUCUCAAGAUUUACAGGCUCUGGUAGUUAAAUAUGCUAAAUUCAAAAAGAGUGGUGGAGUUGGAAGACUUGAUUGUAGUGGAAAAUUUGCACGCCCCAGGCUAAAAGUAAAGUAAAGGAAUAACAAGGAACAUUCCACAAUAUCAGCUGUCGCUAAUGCCAAGGAGUUGGCGGAACAAAACUCCACCCUCAAACUGUUCCGAACAUCUCGCUUUCAACCGAUUUUAGAGCGUAUCACGUGGCACCACGACACAAGCCACAAUUAGAAAUAUUGUAUAACAUUUACUAUAAUUCAACGGGUACAUCCAAUGUGAUAACGAAUUUAGAGAUUCUGUAAUUUUUACAGAUGAGUCCAAAAUUAAUUUAUUUGGAAAAAAUGCCGUCGGUAAUCUUGUUUUCAUCGAAUUAUGUAAACAAUGGACUAUAAGCAAUAUUAAAAAAAUAGUUUGGCUCCGUCAGCAGCUAAACUCAAUUUAAAUGGUGCUUUAUUGGUUAAGAAAUGGUUGUGAAAAUAGUGCUGCAACAUCCUUCUCAGAGUUCAGAACCCAAUCCCAUUCAAUACUAUACCAUUGUGAGGCUAUAUGGAGACGAAGUUACGACAGCGCAAAGUUAAUAGCAAAAUUAAGGUUAAAGCCGCUGUUCAGGAAAUAUGGGUUAUUUAGUACCCUGCUGAACUUACAAAAAAUUUGGUGCAUUUCAUGAACAAAAGACAGCAAACUAUGAUAGAGUGCAAAGGUACACAUACCAAGCAUAAUUUUUCCUUAAAGAGUGUUAAAAUGUCAAAUUAUGCAAAUUGUACAAGUUUUUUUUUAUCUUCGAAAAUGGAGUUAUUUUGGAGACUGAUCAUCAAAAAUAAAUUUCAAUUACAUUAUGAAAAUUAA